rnacentral:rRNA from 2 species
GGGGAAUUUUCCGCAAUGGGCGAAAGCCUGACGGAGCAAUACCGCGUGAGGGAGGAAGGCUCUUGGGUUGUAAACCUCUUUUCUCAGGGAAUAAAAARAUGAAGGUACCUGAGGAAUAAGCAUCGGCUAACUCCGUGCCAGCAGCCGCGGUAAUACGGAGGAUGCAAGCGUUAUCCGGAAUGAUUGGGCGUAAAGCGUCCGCAGGUGGCUAUGUAAGUCUGCUGUUAAAGAGCAAGGCUCAACCUUGUAAAGGCAGUGGAAACUACAUAGCUAGRGUGCGUUCGGGGCAGAGGGAAUUCCUGGUGUAGCGGUGAAAUGCGUAGAUAUCAGGAAGAACACCGGUGGCGAAAGCGCUCUGCUAGGCCGCAACUGACACUGAGGGACGAAAGCUAGGGGAGCGAAUGGGAUUAGAUACCYCAGUAGUCCUAGCCGUAAACGAUGGAUACUAGGCGUUGCUUGUAUCGACCCGAGCAGUGCCGUAGCUAACGCGUUAAGUAUCCCGCCUGGGGAGUACGCACGCAAGUGUGAAACUCAAAGGAAUUGACGGGGGCCCGCACAAGCGGUGGAGUAUGUGGUUUAAUUCGAUGCAACGCGAAGAACCUUACCARGGCUUGACAUGUCGCGAAUCUCCUUGAAAGGGGAGAGUGCCUUCGGGAGCGCGAACACAGGUGGUGCAUGGCUGUCGUCAGCUCGYGUCGUGAGAUGUUGGGUUAAGUCCCGCAACGAGCGCAACCCUCRUUUUUAGUUGCCAGCACUUCGGGUGGGCACUCUAGAGAGACUGCCGGUGACAAACCGGAGGAAGGUGGGGAUGACGUCAAGUCAGCAUGCCCCUUACGCCUUGGGCUACACACGUACUACAAUGCUACGGACAGAGGGCAGCAAGCAUGCGAAUGCAAGCUAAUCCCGGAAACCGUAGCUCAGUUCAGAUCGCAGGCUGCAACUCGCCUGCGUGAAGGAGGRAUCGCUAGUAAUUGCAGGUCAGCAUACUGCAGUGAAUUCGUUCCCGGGCCUUGUACACACCGGCCCGUCACACCAUGGAAGCUGGUCACGCCCGAAGUCGUUACCCCAACCCUUGUGGAGGGGGAUGCCUAAGGCAGGACUGGUGACUGGGGUGAAGUCGUAACAAGGUAGCCGUACCGGAAGGUGUGGCUGGAUCACCUCCU